rnacentral:lncRNA from 1 species
UGCUGUGUAUGGGGGAAGGAUCACCUCCCUUCAGGGUUCAUGUAGGACACUGCAUAGUUUCAUAUUCCUUAGGUAGUUCCAACUUGAGCUCAGGUUGAGAAAACUUGUGGAUGUUCAAGAGGCCUGAACAUAGACAGAACUCAGAAACUGCAGUAGAGCAAAGAUGUCUGGACCCUUUGCAAUACACAGGGGUAUACAGGAACCUUACAGUGGCCAAAAUGGGAGCCAUGUUCUGUUGGCAAGGAACUGAUAAAGACAAAAGCAUGUCUUAAAUUUUAUAUUUAGGCUAUAAUUAUCUUAUUCAGUUUCUGAUACAGUUCACAGACCUUUUUAUAAUUUGAUUUCCAUUAUUGAUGUGCAGCCCCACAAUGAGUUUCUCAGAUACAUUGCAGGGUGAAAAAGAAGCCAAAGUCAGGACAGUUUUGUCAUCAGAGGGAGCAAUUGUGGAGCUACACCAUAAACUUUUUCCUAUCAUAAGCAGCUAAACCUUAUAUCUAUUCAGAGGACACGUUAUGGUUCUGCAUCCUUUAUAUGUAGUAACUCCAAAAAAUAAAAAAUCAUUUAGAUCAUACAAACAAUGAGUUUUCUCCUUUCUCUACCUAAGACUAUUUAAAAAAUGUAAUUUCUGCUCCUUCUUAAUAACUACCUGUGGAUCAGACUGAUGGUUAGGUCUGUCCCUCCUAAAAAAGCACAAAUUUUUGGGCAAGUUUAUCAGGAAAGAAAGAGCCGCUAUCUACAAUGAUAGGGUUACAAUGCUGGGUUACAACCUCUUCCAGAAUUGCUUCUGUAUUUUACAUGAAAUGGUUGCUGGAUAAAAUCCUUGAAACUGGUCUUGAGUUCUUGACAGGUUGAUACUUUAACUACUCCCUGGUGAUUCCAGUUUACUCUCCUUGGGAGGCAACGAACAAAAGCCUUCCUUGCAGAGCAGUACCCAGUUCAGCAGGAGGGACUGACAAAUGCUUUCAGCUGCUCAAUUGUACAUGGCUUAAUGGAUGGGAAGAUGUGAGUUUUCUUACCACCAGAAGCCUUUUGGCACAGUGCUACUCAUCCUGAUGGCUGUCCUAGGGCUGGAGCUGUGUAAAGGAUGGAAAGGAAAUUUCACCUUCAUCUUCCCAGCACUCUUUUUUUUCUUUUUUUUUUUUUUUUUUUUGUUAAUUUCCCUACCAAAUAUGGUGCUGUGAUGAGCAAGUAUAAAUCUUUUAGCAAGACUGUGCAUGUGCAUAUGAGAGUGCACAUGGAAUAAAUAGCCUAUUACAAUGUAGGAGUGCUUCA